rnacentral:tRNA from 1 species
GGGCGAUUAGCUCAGUUGGUUGAGAGUGCCUGCCUUACAAGCAGGAGGUCACUGGUUCGAAUCCAGUAUCGCCCACCA